CGGGAGCGACAGUGGGGCAUCGCAGGCGGUGACCGUGGGGAGGGGACACCGAUCAGGCAUUUCCUCAGCUGCCCAAAAUAGCCGGGAAGCGACCUGCAGUCGCGCAGAGUCGCGCGCUCCGUGGGCAGGCACAGGUGCCGUGCGGGGGAAGAACGGAUGGGGACGACAUGAAGACAAGGUCAGGGAUGGUCUAAGGCAAAACACUGCCGCGUGAAUGAGGGGUAGAUGUCACCAGUCCAGGGCAAUGGUUGCUUUCCGUUAGGGAAACAGCUGGGAGCUCCUGGCAGUUGAAAUGAGUGCUGUCUCGUGCCCUCUGCUCCCCAUCCUUACAGAACAGAGCCUGUUGUGUGGAACCUGUUCAGGCUGGAGAUGGUGGAAAGGCUAAAGUUCAAGUUCACAGACCCAAAAAAGAGAAGAGCCAGAGCUGGAGUUUAAGAAUUUGAGGAAACAUGAUUAUAUCUGUUUAUCAAAAUUUAGUCUCUCCACCUGAUGCUAAAUAAACAAGGCAACAGGUGGUGGCUCUCCCAGGUCACAGACAUCAUCAGCUACAGCAAUCGAUACUCCACUUGUGCCUCUAGUGCCUCCAGUGCAUCUCGUGCAGCCUGGAGCUCUCCUUACAUCUGCUGUUUGUGAGGCAGGCAGAAAGCCGAUCACAGAGGGAGAACAACGCCAGCCACAGGAGUCACUCUUGCCUCCACUUCUGUUACAGCCAAGGAGGAUGAGAAACAUGCUCUUUCCCCUCAGGCAGCCAGAG